rnacentral:rRNA from 1 species
UACGUAGGGUGCAAGCGUUAAUCGGAAUUACUGGGCGUAAAGCGUGCGCAGGCGGUGAUGUAAGACAGGUGUGAAAUCCCCGGGCUCAACCUGGGAAUUGCGUUGGAGACUGCAAGGCUGGAGUCUGGCAGAGGGGGGUAGAAUUCCACGUGUAGCAGUGAAAUGCGUAGAGAUGUGGAGGAACACCGAUGGCGAAGGCAGCCCCCUGGGUCAAGACUGACGCUCAUGCACGAAAGCGUGGGGAGCAAACAGG